rnacentral:rRNA from 1 species
UACGUAGGUGACCAGCGUUGUCCGGAUUUACUGGGCGUAAAGAGCGCGCAGGCGGUCGUUCAAGUCGAGUGUGAAAGCCCCCGGCUCAACUGGGGAGGGUCACUUGAUACUGAUCGACUCGAAGGCAGGAGAGGGAAGCGGAAUUCCCGGUGUAGUGGUGAAAUGCGUAGAUAUCAGGAGGAACACCGGUGGCGAAGGCGGGUCUCUGGGCCGAUACUGACGCUGAGGAGCGAAAGCGUGGGGAGCGAACAGG